rnacentral:rRNA from 1 species
UACGGAGGGUGCAAGCGUUAUCCGGAUUCACUGGGUUUAAAGGGUGCGUAGGCGGGCAGGUAAGUCAGUGGUGAAAUCUUUGGGCUUAACCCGAAAACUGCCAUUGAUACUAUCUGUCUUGAAUAUUGUGGAGGUUAGCGGAAUAUGUCAUGUAGCGGUGAAAUGCUUAGAUAUGACAUAGAACACCUAUUGCGAAGGCAGCUUACCACGCAGAGAUUGACGCUCAUGCACGAAAGCGUGGGGAUCAAACAGG